CCCGGAGGGACCGAGCCCGCGUCACGCCCCUCAGCGCUCGCCGAUCCCUUCUCUGUCGUUGCGUCCGCAUCGCGUCCCCGGAAUCAGACGGUGCCCCAUAGAUGGCCAGCUUUCCCCCGAGGGUCAACGAGAAAGAGAUCGUGAGAUCACGUACUACAGGUGAACUUUUAGCUCCAGUAGCUCCUUUUGACAAGAAAUGUGGUCGUGAAAAUUGGACUGUUGCUUUUGCUCCAGAUGGUUCGUACUUUGCUUGGUCACAAGGACAUCCUACAGUAAAGCUUGUUCCGUGGUCCCAGUGCCUUAAGAACUUUCUCUUGCAUGGCACCAAGAACAUCACCAAUUCAAGCAGUUUGAGAUUGUCAAGACAAAACAGUGAUGGUGGUCAGAAAAAUAAGCCUCGUGAACAUAUUAUAGACUGUGGUGACAUAGUCUGGAGUCUUGCUUUUGGAUCUUCAGUUCCAGAAAAACAGAGUCUCUGUGUCAAUACAGAAUGGCAUCGAUUCAGAUUUGGACGGGAUCAGCUGCUCCUUGCCACAGGGUUAAACAAUGGACAUAUCAAAAUAUGGGAUGUAUAUACAGGAAAACUCCUUAACUUGGUAGAUUAUACUGAAGUGGUCAGAGAUUUAACUUUUGCUCCAGAUGGGAGCUUAAUCCUAGUAUCAGCUUCAAGAGACAAAACUCUGAGAGUGUGGGACCUGAAAGAUGAUGGAAACAUGAUGAAAGUAUUGAGGGGCCAUCAGAACUGGGUGUAUAGCUGUGCAUUCUUUCCUGAUUCUUCUAUGCUGGGUUCAGUGGGAGCCAGUUAAGCAGUUUUCCUUUGGAAUAUGGAUAAAUAUACCAUGAUACGGAAACUGGAAGGACACCACCAUGAUGUUGUAGCUUGUGACUUUUCUCCUGAUGGAGCAUUACCGGCUACUGCAUCUUAUGAUAAUCGAGUAUAUAUCUGGGAUCCACAAAUGGAGACACUCCGAUGAAAUUUGGGCACCUGUUUCCCCCACCUACUCCAAUAUUUGCUGGAGGAGCAAAUGACCGAUGGGUACGAUCCGUGUCUUUUAGUCAUGAUGGACUGCAUGUUGCAAGCCUUGCUGAUGAUAAAAUGAUGAGGUUCUGGAGAAUUGAUGAGGAUUAUUCAGUUCAAGUUGCAUCUUUGAGCAAUGGUCUUUGCUGUGCCUUUUCUACUGAUGGCAGUGUUUUAGCUGCUGGGACACAUGAUGGAAGUGUAUAUUUCUGGGCCACUCCGAGGCAAGUCCCUAGCCUUCAACAUUUGUGUCACACGUCGAUCCAGAGAGUGAUGCCCACCCAGGAGGUCCAGGAGCUGCCGAUUCUUUCCAAAGUUUUGGAGUUUCUCUCCUAUGGUAUCUAGAGG